AGACGGUAUAGCUGUCCCGCGUUUCCCGUGCCAAAAAAAAAAUAAUCGAAUCGUACUAUUACGAUCCUUUACACGGACUAAAUCUCUUUCUUGCUAUUUUUUCGUCAUCUUCGUUUCGGCUUGUCUAUCCACUCCGUCCUUAUUAUCGCCAAAGUAACACAUACAUGUGCAUUAUACACAGCGAAAUUAACGAAACUAAUUCGUUUCCGAAAAAAAAACCGUCGCAGGGGUUGAAUGCGGUGGAAAAGAAUAGCCUAUGUAUGUGUUAUUUCUCGGGGGCGAACAGGCCCGCCGGGAAAUCGGAAAUUUGGCCCGGUGAGGCCCUCCCUUGUUAAGCCCUCCAACGGGAUCCACGUGUUGCUCUUUGUACAGUGAUGGGCGCGACACCGUCGAACCGCUGGUUUAAAUAACGGACUCGGACAUGUCAUAGUUCGUGCAACCAUAAUACAAAAAAAAAAAAAAAAAAAAGUCACCGGUAUCGUUUUUAUGCCCUUUUUACGAAUUUCUCGGUACGCGAUAAUCGGGGCGUCCGUCACCGCAAUAUGGCCGGUUGGGAAACUGGUCAAUAAUACACCCGCGCAACGAUUCCACGAUCGAUCCGUUCAGUACUUUGGGCGUGCAGCGGUAACAGCCCGAACAAAAACCCUCGCAUUUAUAAUAAUAUUACCGAGACGGUCGGAAAACGUUGGUGACGUACGACGGCGGGCCGGUUAAAAAACACAAAAAAACACAAAAAAAUCGAUCGAAACCUCCCGCGCAAACGUACUAUAGUAAUACGAACGGUGAUCAUGUACGACUUGACUCUGCAAUGGUUUGCAGAUUAUGGCUGCAGAAGUACAUUGUCGCGUACGUUUUACGAAAUGUUAGAAAACAACGCCGAUGCGCAAACCGCGGCGGUGUUCCGGACCGAAGCGAAUUCGGGCCGGACGCGCUUCGGAUUUUCGCCGUAACGGCCGGCGUACCGGCCGCCGUGUGUGCGAUUUCGCUAAAAAAAACCCCGGAGAAGGAAAAGUUUAUACCGUGCUCUCCGAGAUACACCGCGUUGUCUGCGUUUCGUAAACACAUAAAUAAUAGCAAUAAUAGCAAUAUAAUAAAAAAAACCAAUCCUUUUGCCAUUGCCUGUUUCCCCUUGCGACACACCGUCGCGCGAUACGCACGUACACAUCGCGUGUAAUAAUAGUAUGCGAAUUUUCGUAUGACACCCGUGCGUACAGCAUAACGUCGGCGAGCGAUAGUCGGGAACGCGCGUUUCGGACACUGGAC